UGUUAAUCAAGCGGAAGAAGU
rnacentral:sRNA from 1 species